rnacentral:lncRNA from 1 species
GCGCACCCUCAAGCAGACCACAGCAGACAAGUAAGAGCUCGGCUGAGUACAGUGCUCCAAGCCUGCAAUCCCAGCUCUCAGGAUGCUUAGGCAGCACUAGGAGUUCAAGGCUAGCUCCAACUGUGUUACAAGCUUGCGGCCAGCGUGGGUAACUUGAGGAGACCCUGUCUCAAACCAAACGAAAUCCAGAAGGCAGUGUUUUGAGCUGCCUGCCCUGCCCUGCCCUGCCCUGCCCUGCCCUGCCCUGCCCCGCCCCGCCCCGCUCCGCCCCGCAUCUGGAUCAGAUGUGUUGCUGCUUGUCUGCUGGUUGAUCUAGGACAUUCCUCAGCCUGUGCACACAAACGCCUGUUCUUUUUAUUCUAAGAGCAGCCUUUCUAGAACUAUAGCUACUUGGUGCCACAGUUACGGCUCUGGCACACCGCACACCUAUUUCCUCGUCUGACGGAUAUCCGUCACAUUCAGAGAAGUCACAUAGACAUGGUGACAGCAGGUUCAGCAGAGGGAUGAACUCCAGUCUCCAGGAACAGAAAGGGGCUUUCAGCUUCUCUAACCAUCAAAGAACCUCUCACUCAGCCUUUCAAAUCACAUCCACUCAGCUCUAUCCAUGCCUCCGUGUCUCAGGAGAGUCAGAAAUCCAGACCAGAGGCUCAAAGAAAUGCAGGUAGCACAGUCUCCAGGAUCAUGUGAGGAGCUGCCUCCCCUUCAAAGGAUGGACUUCAGUUAGCUCUUCAGCGCGGCCCAGGCUCAGGACAGAGAGUUUGUAAUGGAAGCCCAAGCUAGACUCCGUGCUCUCCCUUUGUCUCGCCUUCCCUUGGCAUAGUCAGACUGGGCUGUGGAUGGUGAUGCUUUCGACCUUUGGCACAUGCCGUUUCUUUAGAUUUUAAGUUCAGCUUCUGUUGGCUCUUCACCUUCCGUUCACAAGGCUUAACUGUAAAGUUAUGGGAACGUCUCUAGACUUGAGCCUAGUGCUAGAACACUUGCCUAGUGUGACUGAGGGCCUAGGUUCAGCCCUGGUACCAACCCAAAAGGAAAAAAAAAAAAUCAUGAGCACAGCUUGCUUCUAAACAGGCUGAAAACAUCUGCUUUCUCACCUGACUCCACAGGAGCCUGGGAUUAGCAGAGGUGGCCCUGUGUUUCACUCCUGGGAACAUCAGGGUCUGGGCAGUGACUUCCCAGGGAAUGGCAGUCCUCACACUGUGGCAAUGUCAUGUCCUCCCCCUACCGACACGUCUUACUUCCACUUGUUCCGCAUGUUUUUGUUGUAGAAAUGUUUAUAUACCAUGCUUUCCAUAUCAGGGGAGAUCAUGUGUUUAAUAAAUUGGCUAUAAUUUUAAUAUCUGUGGACAAUUGUAAAAUUUGGGAUGUAUCAUAUGUAAAAAGUAAAGAUAUUCAAAUAAAUGCUUUAGUGUUG